GCGUCGAGCGGCGGACGGGUGAGUAAUGCCUAGGAAAUUGCCCUGAUGUGGGGGAUAACCAUUGGAAACGAUGGCUAAUACCGCAUGAUGCCUACGGGCCAAAGAGGGGGACCUUCGGGCCUCUCGCGUCAGGAUAUGCCUAGGUGGGAUUAGCUAGUUGGUGAGGUAAGGGCUCACCAAGGCGACGAUCCCUAGCUGGUCUGAGAGGAUGAUCAGCCACACUGGAACUGAGACACGGUCCAGACUCCUACGGGAGGCAGCAGUGGGGAAUAUUGCACAAUGGGCGCAAGCCUGAUGCAGCCAUGCCGCGUGUGUGAAGAAGGCCUUCGGGUUGUAAAGCACUUUCAGUCGUGAGGAAGGUGGUGUAGUUAAUAGCUGCAUUAUUUGACGUUAGCGACAGAAGAAGCACCGGCUAACUCCGUGCCAGCAGCCGCGGUAAUACGGAGGGUGCGAGCGUUAAUCGGAAUUACUGGGCGUAAAGCGCAUGCAGGUGGUUUGUUA
rnacentral:rRNA from 1 species